rnacentral:lncRNA from 1 species
GUUCUGUUUAUUGUGAUAUAGACAUGGUCUGUUGAGGAAAGACAUAUGAUACCCAGUACCUUGCAGUACCUUCUGUUACUCAGUACCUCAUUUUGUGAGAAAAAAAAAACUUUAUUCCUCCAUGUAUAAGGAGAUUUUGCCUUUUGUAACAUUACAUCAUAAUUGAACAUUAUAUCAUUUAAUUAAAAAUGCUUAAUGAUAGCCCAAAACUACUAUUCUGAAAAAUUAGGCAAGUCUAUAUUGAAUGAAAUGUUAAAAUAGGGGCACAUAAUUGUAUACAUUAAUCGAUAUAUAUAUUUCAUACUUAAGUACAUUUGAAUUGUUUCUUGCGGUUUUAUAUUGCAUUUAAUAUAAUGCAGUUUGACGACAUGUAAACAUAACCCCACCGCAUUUUUGCGCCUGUCCCAAGUCAGGAGCCUCUGGCCUUUGUUAUAGUCUUGUAUUAUUUUAAUUUAAGUUUCUUGUGUACAAUUUGGAAAUUAGUAUGGCGUUCAUUAUCACUGAACUAGUAUAUAUUUGUUUAGGGGCCAGCUGAAGAAAGCCUCCGGGUGCGGAAAUUUCUCGCUACAUUGAAGACCUAUUGGUGACCUUCUGCUGUAGUGUUUUUUUUUUCUAUGGUCGGGUUGUUGUCUCUUUGACACAUUCCCCAUUUCCAUUCUCAAUUUUAUAAUACUUUGGUUAUAAAAUGCACACCUUAAAAACCUAUAGUUAUUGUGAAAAUCAAAUGACCUAUCGUAAUAACAUGUAUAUAUGUAUAUUGUGUACCUUCUAACAUUAAAUGGAAAAAAAAAACUGUCAUGCAAAUCUUAUUAUUUCC